CUCGUCUACAUUGCAAAUGCAAGAUAAUUCCAAACAAGAUAUAGUUCAUUGGAUAUAUUUAACAAUAAUUAAAUUUUGGAUGUAACGCGUUUUCUGAUUGGCUGACGUUAUUUUGUUAUCAGCCCAUACACAUAAUUUAGUCAUGUGACCGUGACGUCAUCAACGUUUUUUCAUGGUUUUCUACGGUUUAAAAUGGAAUUUAGAAUUAAAUCAUACGAAAUGACUGUAAUAUUCUUUUCUGUCUAUUCAAAAUAACAUUAAAAA
rnacentral:lncRNA from 1 species